AUUGAACGCUGGCGGCAGGCCUAACACAUGCAAGUCGAGCGGCAGCGGGAAGUAGCUUGCUACUUUGCCGGCGAGCGGCGGACGGGUGAGUAAUGUCUGGGAAACUGCCCGAUGGAGGGGGAUAACUACUGGAAACGGUAGCUAAUACCGCAUAACGUCGCAAGACCAAAGAGGGGGACCUUCGGGCCUCUUGCCAUCGGAUGUGCCCAGAUGGGAUUAGCUAGUAGGUGGGGUAACGGCUCACCUAGGCGACGAUCCCUAGCUGGUCUGAGAGGAUGACCAGCCACACUGGAACUGAGACACGGUCCAGACUCCUACGGGAGGCAGCAGUGGGGUAUAUUGCACAAUGGGCGCAAGCCUGAUGCAGCCAUGCCGCGUGUAUGAAGAAGGCCUUCGGGUUGUAAAGUACUUUCAGCGGGGAGGAAGGUGUUGAGGUUAAUAACCUCAGCAAUUGACGUUACCCGCAGAAGAAGCACCGGCUAACUCCGUGCCAGCCGCCGCGGUAAUAC
rnacentral:rRNA from 1 species